GUAUAUAUUAUUGAUAACUGUUUUAUGAUCUUUUAAGGUACGCAUUCAAGAAACAAUCACAAAAAAGAGUUAUCGAUUCUUUCUCACCUCCUCUAGCAUUCUCACAUCCUCCUAGCCUUCUUCUUUGUUUCCACCAUCUUCUCCGUUUCCACCAUCUUCAUUUCCUCAGCCUUUUUCUUGUCUUCCACCAUUGUCUCAUGGAUCUACUUACCUCUCAGUCUCAUAAUAGAUCAAAACCAUGUAUUCUCAUAGAGAGUUAUCACAAAUGGCGCUGUAUGGGAUGAUCUUCUCGUUUGUUAUUGCCUUCAACUCGUGGAGCAACACUUUAAACCUAAGCAUCAUUAUAAUACAUAUGAUAAUGAUUUUCUUCAAGUAUAGUUGAAAAUGAUUUAUGAAGUUCAAAGUACAUAAUUUGGCUUGAAUUUUACAUUUUAAGUUAGAAAUUUUAUGGUUAUUAGUUUUAAGUUAGCAAAUCAGAGUUCUGACUGAUAUGGCGUAAACAAUAUAAUUUUAUAUUUAUGUCGCAAAAUAGUAAGUAUAAGAUUUGUUUUUAAGGAGAAAGGGGUAGAUAGAUAUGUAGAUAAUAUAAU
rnacentral:sRNA from 1 species